rnacentral:lncRNA from 1 species
AAGAGCUCACAGUGGUAUGUUCUUGCUCACUUGCUCUCACAAGCCCCUCACGUUGAUUAAUUUUUCUCCUGUGUGACUAAAUUCAUGUACUGAAUCCUUGAUUAUCUAAGGGUUUCAAUACUUACCCAACUCUGCUCUGCAUUGAUGGUUGCUCAAUGAUCGAUCGUUGCAUGGUACUUUGUCUUUUAUUCUGAUUGUCCUGAUUAGUAAAAUGGAGCAGGAGUUCCUUGGUUCCAACAGAAAAAAAAUCUAGAUCAAUUUCGGAAUUAAAUCCACUUGAACUUUUUGUGAAUAAACAUUCACCUUAUGAAAAAAAGAAUGCAAAUCACAUUUUAAUUUUAUGUUCCGAGUCUAAGCAAACAAACAAAUAUAUUGUUCUAGCAAUAGCCCAAAUGGAUUCGAUUAUUCUUUCCUAGCAAAGUAAGAUUAGCAAAAGGUAAAAGAAUGUUUCUGCUUCACGAGGAAAUUAAUUCAAAAUCUAACAGAAUCAGAUAUUGAUCUAUUGGAUCUAAAUAAAGUAUAUUAAGAUAUUUGUCUAUGAGAAAUUUUGGUUAGUCUAACUCUCCAUCCUUUUCACCAUGUAGAUUCAAUUUUUGGGGAAUUGCCCUUUUAAGAUUCACGAUGCAUGUGCACUGGGGAAACCAGGACCGUUGUUAGUGCAAUAAUUUAUGCCUGCAUAUCCAUCUAGGCAUGACCACUUGAUUGCAUGAAUUAUGUCCCUGUGAACUCCUUACUAUAUUACUAUGUGACUGUGCUAAGUUGAAUAGUGAAAUGAGAGUACAUCUUAAUGUGUUAUCUCAUUUCUGAAUGUUGGGUUUUCAUAAUCCAACUUUGUAAGAAUAAAUGCUACUGGUUUUUAUGAUUAAUAUGGAUUUCAGUUGUCUAAUGUUGCCCGUUUUCUAGCACCACAAUUUAAAUUUCAAUAUUUUGGUAUAUUUGAUGUAAUCAGUGACAACCUUUGUUAUGCUCUGACAUUCCUUGAUGGAGAAAGUUCUAAUCUUAGUGAAUUUAAAGCAUGCCUCCCAUCUGUAGUAUCAUCCAGAGUUUGUAAUAAUGCCAAGAAGAUGCCUAACAAUAUACAGUUGAAGAUAUCAACUCCAAUGAAUUACUGGCUAAAGCCCUUUGAGAAAUUCGGUCCAGUUUAUAACGACAUUUCCUUGUUAAUUUUUCUCUGCUGAAUUUGACUAGUAGGUCUCAGUACAAAAAUAGCUUAUGUGCUACUGCAAGGUGAUGCCAAAGCUGGCGAAUUUUCGGCCUUUUUUGUGGCUUUGCUCCUCUUCUAAAGAAUUUACCUUCAGAAGAGACUGGAGAAGACAUGGAAGCUACAGCCAAUUUGCAUUGGUAAUUGAUUACCAUUAAAUACCCAUAGCUCAACAUCAUCAAUAGUCAAUAAGAGUAAUUUGCUAUCAACAUUAUUUCAUCCAUGACUAUGAGAUAUAUAACUCCUGAAAAUAGCUGAAUUGGAUCGAUUAUGAGAACAUGAACCUCUUGCUUGUAAGCAUACAUAAUCUGGAGUAGCAUGGAUGGCAUGCCCUGUUAUUUCAUAUUUGUCGCAUGGUCUGACCUUUGAUAGAAGGAGUUGAUUUCUUUAUCCCGUUUGAGGUAUGUAGACCUGCCAAAUUUUCUAUGGAGUGCAGCGUCAGGUCAUUGCCAAGGUCUGUGUCUAUGUGGACGACCACUACUUCUUCUAUGACACCCACGAGAGGGACAUGGUCUACAUUGAGGACUACUCCAAUGGCAAGUCAAUGAUGGCGCCGACGAGCAGCUUCUCGAGUAGACGAUGAGGAAGGCGAGCAACAGAUCAGUGUAGCGCGGUGACAGUAAUAAGAGUUAUCUGUAAUGCAUUUUCCAUGCCAUCAGGCUGUAUCUUUGUAUGUCUUCUUUCUUGUGCUAUAAAUACAAACAUAUGCAAAAAAAAAUAUAAUGGGUGGUCUGCAUUAUCUCUACAACCAGUUUAAGUUGUUCUGAACUUAUAAUUUCUCUGUUGCAAUACAUAUACAUGUGCACUAAGCCUCUUAGAGACCAAACAAGUCAGCUAAAUGGGCAGCAACAUGC